UGGGGAAUAUUGGACAAUGGGGGGAACCCUGAUCCAGCCAUGCCGCGUGUGUGAAGAAGGCCUUAUGGUUGUAAAGCACUUUAAGCGAGGAGGAGGGUACUGGUAUUAAUACUACCAGCUACUGGACGUUACUCGCAGAAUAAGCACCGGCUAACUCUGUGCCAGCAGCCGCGGUAAUACAGAGGGUGCGAGCGUUAAUCGGAUUUACUGGGCGUAAAGCGUGCGUAGGCGGCUAAUUGAGUCGGAUGUGAAAUCCCCGAGCUUAACUUGGGAAUUGCAUUCGAUACUGGUUAGCUAGAGUGUGGGAGAGGAUGGUAGAAUUCCAGGUGUAGCGGUGAAAUGCGUAGAGAUCUGGAGGAAUACCGAUGGCGAAGGCAGCCAUCUGGCCUAACACUGACGCUGAGGUACGAAAGCAGGGGGAGCAAACAGG
rnacentral:rRNA from 1 species